AAUAGUUCAGAAGAGUACAGAGAACUUUCUGAAAUCCAUUUAGACUGCCAUUCUUUAACUUAUUUAUAUAAAACAUGUUUGCUGGUGCUACAAAACUGGGAAUAAUAGCUACUCUAAGUUUCCAACUUCAAUUUUGCUGUAAGAAGCACGAAACCUGUUUUAUCACUUAUACUCCUUCCACUGAGGUGAUAAUAAAACUCACUCAUUUCAUUUUCACUUAGCACAGUUCAGGAAAUGCACCCCUUUGCUUUUUUUCUGCCUGGAAAAAAUUUACUUUGCUUUUAUUAUUUAUUGUAAAGAUUAGAAUCUAAAACAUCUGUCACUUCUCUUUAGAGUGAGAGAUAAUGAAUGGAUACAAUCUGCUUCCCCCUACAAGACUGAAUGAAUCUGGCUGAUCAGCCUCCAGCAAAUAGCUGGGGAUGCUGCCUGGGGUAUCCAGACUCAGAAUUAAUACUGAAGCAGUGACUGGAUGGGCAAGUGCUCAACGAUGUCUUAUUAGCAAGCAGGAACUCUGCCAACAUGUGAAGAGGAAAAAAACACAACUGGUCAUCAAGUUUGCCUUCAGUAUCUGAACACCUCAGAUUUUAAUUGCCUUCCUCUGGAUUUGUGAACAGCGAUGUGCUUGUGGCCACAGGUCAGUAGCUGUUAUUAUUACACUUGCUGAUGAUAAAUGAAGUGUUGUGCUCUCUUCUUAUUAGAAAGGGUUGUUUUAUCUUAAAUGUAGAUUGCAGCAAAGCAGAUGGCAAGCAGCAGUUAUAGGUUUUACUUUAGGGAGGCACAGGCAGCCUUGGCUUGAAUAAUGAGUGGAGCUACAGUAUGUUUCAUCAGUAUUCAUCAUCUGCCUACACCAAAGGUGACACACAGGCCCAUGGGUAGCACACCUUACUGCAGCUUUGUCUGAAAUGGCUGCAGUAGUGGGACGUGCAUAUGAAUAUGCAGCUUAAAAGGAAAAAAAUAAAUAAAAAUUGGUGGUUUGUGGGAAUGGGUCA
rnacentral:lncRNA from 1 species